AUCUAAUAACCGCCGGGUUUACGUCUUAUCCCCAUUUCGUUAGGCCAUGGAAGGAGUGGAGGACAAGGCGCUUUAUUU
rnacentral:ncRNA from 1 species